rnacentral:rRNA from 1 species
GAUGAACGCUGGCGGCGUGCUUAACACAUGCAAGUCGAGCGAAGCACUUUACUUGGAUUUCUUCGGAAUGACGAGUAUUGUGACUGAGCGGCGGACGGGUGAGUAACGCGUGGGUAACCUGCCUCAUACAGGGGGAUAACAGUUAGAAAUGACUGCUAAUACCGCAUAAGACCACAGCACCGCAUGGUGCAGGGGUAAAAACUCCGGUGGUAUGAGAUGGACCCGCGUCUGAUUAGCUGGUUGGUGGGGUAACGGCCUACCAAGGCAACGAUCAGUAGCCGACCUGAGAGGGCGACCGGCCACAUUGGGACUGAGACACGGCCCAAACUCCUACGGGAGGCAGCAGUGGGGAAUAUUGCACAAUGGGGGAAACCCUGAUGCAGCGACGCCGCGUGAAGGAAGAAGUAUUUCGGUAUGUAAACUUCUAUCAGCAGGGAAGAAAAUGACGGUACCUGACUAAGAAGCCCCGGCUAACUACGUGCCAGCCGCCGCGGUAA